UCACUAAAUUAUGUAUAAAUUUUUGUUUUAGUCACUUAAUUAAAAAAAUUACAAUCUGGUCAUGAAAUUAUUUAAAAAUUUUCAUUUAAAUCAUUAAAAACUAUUCAAAAUUUUUUUUAUUGAAGUCACUAGUUGUUAAGCUUUUUUUCUUUUUAAAAUUCUGUCAAAGAGCUCCAAACAAUUAUUUGAUGAUUAGAAUGGUGAAUCAAUACUGUACGGGUCCAAUUUUGUCCAGCCCGUUUAAACAAAAAAAACCAAAAAUAAUAACAGUUCAUGUUACAUUAAGACCCAAAACAGAGACCCAAAACCAAGCCCAGCACCUAAGCCCGAUAGGCCCGAUGCCAAAACCAAGUUCAGCCAACCGAAACCCUAGCGUUGCGCCUCCAUUCAGCCAGCCACGUGCUUCCUCGAUGCAAACAUCGCUCGAGGGACGGCUCUGCCCGUCCUUUGCACCAAAAAGGAAACCCCCGCUUGUUGAUUUCCUCCCAAGCUGCAAACAAGCUAAAAGAGGGACAACGGAAGCAACAACACGAAAAGAGAACAGUAGAAACAAGAUGUGUUUUCGGCUAUAUAGCUAAGAGCAAAAAAUGUAAAUUUUUUAGAGACACACAUAUUGAAAUACAAAAAAAGAACCAGAAAUAAAAAGGUGAUUUCAAAAUCUUUUUAUCUAUUGAUUUUAUUGUUUCCUUUGAUCUGUUUUGCGAUUUUAGCAUAAAAAAUGAGAAAAUAAUACCUGAUCCGACGCCGAUGAGAGUCCAAAUAUCUCAAAAGCAGGGAGCUAUGGACGAGGGUCGAACGGUGUUAAGUUCUUUUUCAUUUGUUUUUUUUUUAAAGAAUAGAGUAGGAUUUGAAGCCUUUUUUUAAAAAUAAGAAAAAAGAGAAAGAGCAAACUUACUAAGUCUCCAAAGUUGCGGCCUCCGGCGACAAGAUCCGGUCACUAUUCGAGCGCCGUCGGCCACCAAGCAUGGAGGUGGUUCGGCGGCUGUGAGCUAAAUGAAACCCUAGCAGAGUGUUCCCCCUUUUUUUAUUAAAAAAUUGGCUGCAUUUGAAAAAAAAUAAAAAAAAAAGGUUUUAAGUUACUUGUAAAAAGGAAGGCCUGCACUUCAAGCUAAGCGCCUUGUAAUUAAAAAUGGGGGAAUUUUGC
rnacentral:lncRNA from 1 species